UGGGGAAUAUUGCACAAUGGGCGCAAGCCUGAUGCAGCGACGCCGCGUGCGGGAUGGAGGCCUUCGGGUUGUAAACCGCUUUUGUUCAAGGGCAAGGCACGGUCUUUGGCCGUGUUGAGUGGAUUGUUCGAAUAAGCACCGGCUAACUA
rnacentral:rRNA from 1 species